AUUGCACGCUGGCGGCAUGCCUAACACAUGCAAGUCGAGCGCGCGGCGGACGGGUGAGUAAUGUCUGGUAAACUGCCUGAUGGCGUGGGAUAACUACUGGAAACGGUAGCUCAUACCGCAUACCAUCAGAUGUGCCCAGAUUGGAUUAGCUAGUAGGUGGGGUAAUGGCUCACCUCGGCGACGAGCCCUAGCUGGUCUGAGAGGAUGACCAGCCACACUGGAACGGAGACACGGGCCAUACGCCGACGGGAGGCAGCAGUGGGGAAUAUUGCACAAUUGGCGCAAGCCUGAUGCAGCCAUGCCGGGUGUGGGAAGAAGGCCUUCGGGUUGUAAAGCACUUUCAGCGGGGAGGCGUUACCCGCAGAAGAAGCAACGGGUAACUCCGUGCCAGCAGCCGCGGUAAGAC
rnacentral:rRNA from 1 species